AAUUCUAUUGUAAUAUUGAUCAUGUAAUAUCAACUUAGCAAACCCAAUUGACUUGGUUGCUGUUUAUAUGAGUUAAGUAUAUCAUCCAGGAAAUUUCAGAAAGUGAAAAAGGACAUUGGCAGAUGCAUUAUUAUAGAUAUUACAGCAGCUAUCACUCAACUGCAUUUUACAUUCGAGAAAUUAGGUACUCACCGCCUACAAGCAAUCAACAAGCGAAUGAACCACUGGGAUGAGCGAGCAUUCCUCUGCAAGUACUAGAAACAAAUAAGACAUAAAAAGAAAUAAUAUUAUAGAGGACUAAUAAGCAGGAGCUUUAUUAAUUUGUAUAGCAAAUAAUCCAUGCAUAUUUUUUUUUAUAAAAUCAGUUGUGUGGGGGAUUGUAGGGUGGCUUGUGUUCUGGUGGCUUGUGUUCUGGGAAUGGCUUCCCUACUUUAGGGUGUUCGAAAACCGGUGGCUUUGGGAAAGGCUUCCCAAUCUUUGGAGGCUCGUAGAUUGGAGGCUUAGGGAAUGGCUUGUCAAUCUUGGGAGGCUUUGGAAAAGGCUUGUCAACCUUCGGAGGCUCGUAAACUGGAGGCUUUGGAAAUGGCUUGUCGAUCUUGGGAGGCUCAUAAACUGGAGGCUUUGGAUAUGGCUUGUCAAUCUUGGGAGGCUUUGGGAAUGGCUUGUCAAUCUUGGGAGGCUUUGGGAAUGGCUUGUCAAUCUUGGGAGGUUUUGGGAGUGGCUUGUCAAUCUUGGGAGGCUUUGGGAAUGGCUUGUCAAUCUUGGGAGGCUUUGGGAAUGGCUUAUCAAUCUUGGGAGGCUUUGGGACAGGCUUGUCAAUCUUGGGAUGUUCGUAAAAUGGUGGCUUAGAGUAAUCAGCAAGAGAUGGAGUGGCGAGAAGUACCACCACCCCAAGGAGCAACACUGGCAAGUAUGUUAGAGACAUCUUGUUCGCUUUGUUUUUCGAUGAUACAAAAUUAGGAACUGGUGCUCUUUUAUAGAGUUCCUGUGACUACGUUGGCCAUUGCAGGUUUUAAAACAUAAUCUUGUUAGUUACGUUUUAAGCUUAUUUUAUGAAAAAAGUCAAAAGUAACAUUUGUAAGUUACCGGGUGAUGAUAGAUGUUUUAGGUGAAUUUGGGUCCCUCUUGAGUCGGCGGAAGUUGAAAAUUGAAGCAGUGCCUAAUUUCAAAGUGUGACAAUUUUUUUAUCUUUCCGGUGACCCCGUUCCAUUAAUAUAAUUUUUUCCAACAAAAUUUUUUUUACUAUGACUUUUGGUAUUUUAAAUAUAGAAAUUAUUUCUAGAUGCAUUCUCCCGUAUUCUGGUUCCUUCCAUCGAGAUUGCUCAUUUCAUUGGCACAGUUUUGCGUAAUGCGGUCAUUUUAAAUUGAUUUUGUGGUCGAAAAUUGGACAUCAAUUAUAUGUGUUAGUUAUAAUCACGUGGUUAUCUACCCUGCCCUUCAAUUAAUGGUUGCAUAAGUUGAUGGCCAAAUACAGAUGCUAAUUAAGUUCAGACGUUGUGGCUUCGAAAGAGAGGGUGCUCGUCUUUGUCAGAUUGGUUAUCUAUGUAUACAUAAAUGAUCAUUAAUAAUCAUUGAAUAAUCCGUUAAUUGUAAAUCAUUAAUAAUUAUUGAAUAAUCCGUUAAUUGUAAAUCAUGUAUACAAGUUUUGUGCAUGUAAAAUGAUGUGACAUAAAUGUAACGAGGGAGUAGAAGUACAAAAGAUGACCACGUAUUUACGACUUCGUACAAUAUCAAAGGUAAGUUUGAAAGUGUUGCCGAGCCAAGCUGCUCCGCUGCUUCAAUGUAAAACAGAUCAAAAGCAGAAGACUUUCGAGAGAGUUAGCCAGAAAAUAUUUUAUGCAUCAAAAGGUACCACAUCACCAACCAUAUAAUGCAGUGUAAUUAGUAAUGAUAUGCCUUACGUGUUGAAAAACUGCCCAAUAAAUUGGUGGGCGUAUUAAUAUAGUAAUCUUGUACAUAAAAUAUCUCAAAACAAUUAGCUAUAUAAAAGUCCAAACAAUUGAAAAUGUUAGCUCUACUAUAUUAAUAAUCCAAUUCAUUUUCAUCCUUUCAAUUGCCACUGACCACCGUCUUGUUAGCUGAUUAAACUUCUUCCAAACGCGUUUGACUACUUUUAUAAUUUGCACAUUGCUCCAUUGCCACCGCUUCCUCCUCUUUUUUAUUACGAGUAAUUAUUUGAACAGUUGAACCCACUUAUGAAAGCAAAUGUAGAGGUAAAUAAAUAUUUGUAAGUCAUUAUGGUAAAAUAGAAAAAGGAAAUGUUCUUAUUCUUUGCAGUGGAACAGCAGCAAGGUAUGGGCUGUCGCGCGGUGGCCGGCUUUUGAGAGCAUAGUGAGUAAGCUUUAGGAUUAAGCUCAAUAAAUUAUACUUACAAAUUUUAAUUUUUAAAAAAAUAUAUAUAAGGGCCGGGCCAAGUCCGUGUUUUGUUGUGUAUGCCCGGAUCCAGCCCCAGCCUGGUAAAUUUAGCCUCAAGGCCCGGCUUACACAUAGAGGGCCGGGCAUUUUGCCCACCCAAAUUUAUGGUCUCAGUUUGUUCACUCCAAUUAUUGUCCCAUGAUUCAUGUUUGUCAAAUCACACGAUAGAUUAAUUUCGUCGCUUAUUACCCGGAUGGGUAAGAGGAAAUUACCAAAUCCCAUCGAUUACAUAUAACGUGUGUGAGUUUCUAUCAAGUCAUAAUAAGAACUAAAAUUCCUUUAUUCACCAAAAAUUAAACAAAGUGAAUAAGUUUGAGUAUGGUGGGCAUGUCGAUAUUAUUAGAACAUAUCACUGCAUGCUCAUCAGCUACAAGCAAUUAACACACAUACAGAUGCAAACCAAUGAUAUGAGCAUUCCCAAGUACUGUUGCUAACCGAAAUAAGCACAAAAUACAAUAAUAAGAGUCCGCAGGAGCCAGCGGCUUAUUUAUUCGCAACUGAUAUAUCUUUUAGACUUUUACUAGUGUUAUUUUUUGAAGAAUCAGUUAUUGUGCGGAGGCUUAUUGUAAGCAGGAAGCUUGUGUUGUGAGAAAGGCUUGCCCUUCCUGGAAGGAGGAAUGUGUUUUGGUGGCUUUAGAGGUCCAGAUGGUAUCUCCACAUGAGGAGGUUUCUCAUAAUUAUAAACUGGUAGUGGCUUGUUUUGAGGGAUUAAUGGUUUCACUUCAUUGGGAGUCUUGGGUGGUGGGAAUAAGGAUCCAGCUGGCUUCAAAGGAAUAGGGGGUUUCUCAUAAUUAUAAACUGGUGGUUCUGGAAAAAAGGGUGGCUUCUUGUGGUGGUGAUCAGAGAGAGAAGGUGUGGCAAGAACCACUACUACAAUGAGCAAUAACACUAGCAAGCGUGUGAAAGCCAUGGACAUCUGAUUUUGUAGUUUAUUUUUUCAGGAUUUGGUGCCCAUUUAUAGAGUUCUAGACCCGUGCAUUAGCUGCCCAGUGCACAUGCAUGCCGUUCUUAGUCCAAAUGCACGUUGCACCUGGUCAUGCUUUAAGAUUUGAUUGUGAAAUAAGUCAAAAGUCGGUUUGUACUUGUCAGGCCGUCAAAAUGUGGCAGGGUUUGAGGCCCUUCUCGAGCCAACAACAAGGUUGAAAAAUAUGUGGAGUGAAAUUUGGACAUGUGUUUUGAUAGGAAAAUACUGGUUGCUCCGGGUCAAAUCCCGAAAGUAACCAAAACGACGCCAUUUGAAUUUUUUUUUUUUUUACUUCUCCAUAAAAUGUUAUCGUUUCAGCCAAGUAAAAGUAGAAAAACGCAGGGAAACAAAACGAACAAAACGGCAAUGUUUGCUUUUGCUUUAUCAACUCAGAAAAACAUCAAGAAUGUUUCCCAGCAACAAGUAAGAACUUCACAGGGGCAUACUCAGAUAUCUUUUGAAAGACAUUCGAAGUCAGGCUUAGCACCUCUAGGGCAACAAAUAACCACAAGCAACCAAUCACCAACAAGGGGCAAAGUCGGCUCAUCAAUUCCUACAUUGCAAUCACAGCAGGCUGAGAAUUCUUCAGCUAGCGCUGGCCAGAAAUCCUCCCCAGUCUGUGGAAGGAAUGUGCCAUCAAUCCUGAGCACAUGUCCUAGUCACCUCUCUGAACUCAAGUACUAAAAUCUAGAUCAACUAGAAAGCUGGCUCAAAGUUUUGUCCCCAAUGUCAGUCUUGUAGUCGCCUCCCAAUGAUAAUUGAUAGCCUUUUUGGCUUUAAGGGGGAGUUUAAAUGUGUGUUUAUGAGAGAGGCACGUGGAUUUCUAGCAAAUGGAAAAGAACUAUGAAUAUGAUUUUCCAUGGGGCAUGGCAGCAUCAGGUAUGAGCAGAGGUGUUAAGAAAACGAAGAUGAGAGGAAGACAAAAACGAAGAGGAGAGGAAGACGUUUGGGUUUGCUUUGCUUGGGUCAAACGGCAACAUUUGCUUUUGCUAGGGUGAAACGGCAACGUUUUAUGGAGAACCAAAAAGAAAAAAAAAAUCAAACGGCGUUGUUUUAGUUUAAUUUUCGGGGUUUGACUCGGGGUAAAUAGCAGAACUCGUUUUGAUAUUAGCAUUUACUCAGAUAUUCUUCCAUCUUUAACGACAUCUCUUAUUUUUAUGGCAAAUAUAUUGGCACAGGUCCUAUAAAUAAUCCUAUCAGUCCAAGCCUAGAGGCUUCGGCGGUGGUCACUUGCACUGCUUAAGGAGGUUUCUCCGGCAGCGACUUGCACUUAUCUUGAGUAGGCACCAUACAAUUUUUCCAAUAUUCACAUGAAAUUUUGAUUCGGAAAAAGUGUUUGACGGGCCGUUGGCAAUUGUGUUCUCUUUGGUUUAAUUAUCGUCGUAAAAUGUUACCUACGAAGCUUCAUUUCUCUUAUAUUUUCCAUGAGGCAAUAUGAUUGUUGAUAAACUUGUUAAUUUGGGUGUUGGUCUCAAUUCUUUACAUUGAUGGAUUGCUCCCAUGAUUGAAAUUUAUGGUCUUCUUUUUCAUGAUGGAAUGGGUUAUCCUUAUUAAUAGGUUUUAUUAUUUUAUGUGCUAAUUUGUUUUUUCCAUAGUUACUGUUAUUGGAUAAGGCUCUAAUGUACCCCCGAAUUGUUGUACUACAUUUUUUACUUUAAUGGUGCAUUUAUAUUUGUUGGUUAUUUUAAAUCAAUUGCUAUUGAUACCAAUGUGCAAGUGUACACAACAAGUAAUAAAGUUAUGAAUAUUCAACAUCGUCUCCACAUGGAUUGAUGUUACUAGAAAUGCUACAGCAAUCAUGACAAUGCAAAUUUCUUUCUAUAAAAAAAAUAUAAAUAAAGUUGAUUAACUAAUAAAACUAGCGACUUAACAAAGUAAAUGCAGUGACAAAAGUAAAUUGGACGGUCUGUGCAAAAAGAAUUCAAUAAGAAUAAGGUAGUUAAAUGAUAAAACUCUCUUGAUGGGAUGACUGUUUUAUUCAAACUAACACCAGUUGCUGCAGCAACUCCUAUAGCACUUGGCAGAAUUACCUUACAUCCUCAGUUGUUGCUUGUUGGAUCUCUCACACCCUUAUGCAACCUAACAAUGAUAAGGUGUUCUAUCACAUAAGAUAUGACAUUAUAAACAUAUACUCUCUCUACCCUACAAGGUGAAUCCAUAUAUCUAGUUCAUCACAAAUCUUAACUCAAGUGUGGCUCUUUUGGAAUUCAAGUUAAACUCAAUCCAGGAAACUUGACUUAAGAUCAAGUAUUACUCUAAUAAUUUCCACUAAGACAAGCCCUUUUAUGGCUCUCUCUUAACUUUAAUCAUUAAAUGGGAGGUCAACCGAAAUAAUGAUUGUAAUAAAAGCUAUUAAAGUCAAAUGCUACAGUAAUCUUGCAGCAACUCAUAAGAACAGUCAAUAACCCAUCUAUAUUGUUUGUUGCUCAAUUACAAUCAAAUUUAGUUAAUAACUUAAAAAAGAAAAACAAACAGCAAAAUAUCAAACAUGAAAUACAUCGUUUCAAUCAGAGAAUAAGUAAGGAGACAAGUAAAGAAUGAUGAAAAUUGAAUCCAAAUAGUUCUGUAGAUUUUUUCAAUGGUGCAGACUUGUUCUCUCUUGAAUUCUACUUCUUCCUUCUUUUUCUCUUGAUAUAUUUUUUUUAUGUUGAUUCACCGCCCCAUUUUUCAUAUGAUGCGUGCUCCUUUUAUAAUUGAAAACUAUGGUAGACAAAAGCCUAGGGCGCACAUAAGUCAGAUUAGGAAACUGCAGAUCUCAAUUCUGCAAGUAUCCCGCACAGAAUUUUCUCUGUCGUUGUUCUAGGAUUGUUACAGCAAUGGUUGCUACAACAACUGUAUUAUUCCAGAUUUGUUUCAAUUCUUUUGUAGCCAUGUUCUUUCUUUAUUUUUGCAAGUCUAUUGCAUCAGCAUUCCUUCCUUAAAAUUUGAGCUUCCGGACACCUACAAUUAUGCACACAAUUUAAGCACGAAUUAUUCUAAAUCAAACAAAAUUUAUUAAGAAUAACUUAAAAUGAAUGUUUAUGCAAAUAUAACAAAAAUGUAAUGAAAACACAUCAUUUACUCUCUAAGUAAUAUUGAUUUAAGUUUAAAAGUGCUACGAUAACUCUCAUUUUAUAGAAUUAUCAAUAUUAUAUUGUAUUAUUAUAAUACAAGUAUAUUAUAUUCUAUUGUAUUCUAAUAAUGUUAUAUAAUAUUUGGUGCUACAUUAUAUUAUAUUAAUUUUUAAUUAUAUUUUGUUUGGUAUAUAUUGUAUUGUAUUAAUUUUUUAUUGAUUAAUUUAAAAGACAUAAUUAAAAAAUAAUAUUUAUUAGUACUUAAAAAAUAUUAAAUAUAGAAAUAUUAAAUUUUAGAAAUCUAACUUUUUUUUAGUAUAAAUGUUAGAAAAAGUAUUAUAAAUCCUCAUAAAGAUUGAAGCUUAUGACCUUAAAUUUUCGGCGACAUAACAUUUAUUUUUUCAGCAUUUUUCACAUAUAUAACUUAUGAAAUAAAAAUCUAAUCUAAUCACUCAAUCAAAUAACCUCUAAAUAAUAUUACAACUUAAAUAAAAGUUUACAUAAAACUCUUAACAUAAUACAAUAAUAAGGAUCUAAACCAUGAUUGAGGACAUAAUAGCAAACAAUGUCUUAUAUUGAUAGUUAUUUCAAUCAAAUCAUUCAAGCAAUGUCAAUCAACAAGAUUGAAGACUGAAACCACAAAUUUCAAUACCAUGAGGUUAACAUUCUGCAUAUUAGACACAAUUUCCAAGUGUUUUUUUUCCUAUACUUUUGGAAGGUUCCACAACCAAUUUCUCAAGCACUGUUGCAUUUUGCAGCACGUAAAAUGUAACUUCAAGAUCAAAUUGGCGCCCAAGAACCCAUGUAAUUCAACCAUCUUGAGGUGUUACGAUAGGAUUUUGGAAAUUGCUAUAUUUUCUUUCCAAAUCUUCAGCCUUGAUCAUCUACCUGCAAUAAUGAAAACAAGCACUGUACUGCAAUCACAUGUUUAACUCCAUCACGCUCAUUUAGAGGAGGGAGGGAAAAACAUUAAUAACACAAAAAUAAUUAACAAUACAGAACUUAAAAAUUCAGUAUAUUCACGUAGAAUCAUCAUAUAAACUCGUAACACUAAAAAAUCUUGCAUAAUUUCUCUAGGACUGUUGGGCACAAAUUAUUACAGUAAGAAGCAUAUUUGCCAAUAGAAAUAAUAUCAUGCUAGAAAUCAUAAGGACUAUCAUAAUAAAGGAUCCUAAUGAAACAAAAUUAUAAGGAUUCAAAAUCUCUUCCAAAUUGGUUCAGUUCUAUGAAACAUAUUUAUUCUUGAUAUGUUUGUUACAGAUGAUACAAUGUUUUAAAGAUCAAUUAAAUUAUUAAAAAAAAAGAAUUCAGAGAACUUCACAAAUCACAAUCACCUCUGUUUAAUAAAUAUCAACAAUUAAAGGUAUGGCAUAACUUAAAGAACAAGAUGAUAAAUUUCCACAAAGCUAAAUGCUAGCACACUUAUUUUGGUUUUGUUAAUUAUGUUAUUUUUUACUAUUAUAAAAAGCUUAAAACAAGUUCAACAAAAUCAAAUAUCAUAUGCACAGUUUAACAAAAAAAUGAUGAAAAAAUUGAAAGAAAAGUUGAUGGGUGAAACAAGGCUAGAGGUAAAAUAAAAUUGGAAAGAAAAUGAAGAAUAAACACAAAAAGGAUACCAGAAAUUACGUGAUUCGACUUUUAGCCUACACUCAUGGACAAUGAUAGAAGGAAAAUAUUUUACUAUAUUGGAAAAAUUACAACUUCUCUCUAAUAAUAGGAGAGAACAUUUAUACUCUCUCAAUAAUUAGGAAAAACUACUCUCACUUCCCAAACCCCAAUUAUACUCAACACUCUCAAUUAAAGAGCAAGUAUAUUUAGCUUUCAAAUUUUUAGCUCUCUCAAAAUAGAGGAGAAUAACCAGGGAAAAAAAUGGGAUGAUUAAAAUGACGGGGUGAACCCAUCUAUUUAUAGCCAAAAUUGGCUAUCAUUUUAAUUUUUUUUUCUUGUCAAAAUUUACUGCAACACCACCAUUUUUCCACGUUUUGGCAUCGUCAAUGUCAAAGCCGUGUGCCACCAAUUUUGCUUCUUCAAAGUUGCUGCAGCCCUAUUUGAUUUCUCUUUGUUAAAAAAGAGUUACUUCUAGAAUUUGACAGCCACUUUUCUUGACAUUCUCCCACUUGGAGAUUUGAUUGAGAAUCAAUCAAUCUUCACACCAUCCUUUCUACUUCGUCAUUGUCAUGUUGUUUACGUUUUUACCAACCCACAAGAGAAUCUACUCCAUACAAACUUGUCAGUAUUGAUUGGUUUGAUCAUAAUAGCUGUUAGGUUCUCCUUGGUAUUGAUUUUCUAUAAAUUCACACUUCCGUUUUCCACUACUUCUCGAAUGAAGUGGUACUGAAUUCCUAUGUGCUUUGUCCUGGAAGGAAAGGUUGGAUUCCUCGCAAUGUGCAAGGCACUCUGACUGUCACAAAACAUAGAAAUUUUCUCUUGUUUAUACUCGAGCUCUUCCAUGAACCUUUAUAUCCAAAUAACUUCCUUGCAAGCUUGUGUAGCUGCCAUGUAUUAUGCUUAUGUUGUAGAUAAAACCACAACGAUCUGUAGUUUUAAAACCCAGGUUACAACUUCUCCUGCAAGUGUAAACACAUAGCCUAUAAUGGAUUUUCUUUUAUCAAGGUCUCCUGCAAAAUGUGAAUCCACAUAACCCCUAACAAUAAACUCUGAUCCUCUGUAACAUAAUGAAACAUCUAAGGUUCUUUUUAUGUAUUUUAUAAUCCUCUUUAAAGUUUUCCAAUGCUUUCCACCAAGAUUUGUCAUAUAUCGACUAACUGCUCCCAUUGCUUGUGCAAUGUCCGGUCCUGUACAAAUCAUAGCGAACAUUAAACAUCUCACUGUUGAUGCAUACGAUACUCGAGACAUCUCUUUCCUCUCUACUUCAUUACUAGGACACAUAUUUGAGGAUAACAUGAAAUUAAUGGGAAGUGGGGUAGAAAUUAGCUUAUAAUCUUGCAUGUUGAAGCGUCGCAAGAUUUUCUUCGAGUAAUUCUUCUAUAAAAGCCAAAUCUUUCUUUUAUUUCUGGUUAGAUGAAUUUGCAUCCCUAGAAUCUUGUUUGUUAGUCUCAAGUCCUUCAUUUUAAACUCCUUAGCAACUUGUGCCUUCAAUUUUUGGACUCAAUAUUUGUUAAGGUUUUCUACCAACAUGUCAUAUACAUACAACAGCAAAAUGAUGAAAUCAUUAUUUUCAAACCUCUUAUAAUAUGCACAAUGGUUUGAAUUGAGUUUGCUGUAUCGAAAGCUCAUGAUGAUGAAUCAAAUCACUUAUACCAACACCUUGGCGCCUGUUUGAGACCGUAUAGAGAUUUGUUCAACCUGCAAACCAAGUUCUCUUUACCCUUUACAGCAAAACCUUUUAGUUGGAGCAUAUAAAUUUCUUCUUCAAAUUCUCCAUGAAGAAAUGCAGUUUUCACAUCUAACUACUCUAAAUAUAGGUCAAAUGUAGCACACAUCACCAAGACUACUCUGACUAUUGUAAGUGGAACUACCAGAUAAAAUAUCUCAUUGAAGUCAAUACAUUCUUUCUGAUCAUAUCCUUUCACCACUAAUCUUGCAGGAUACCGCUCCAUUUGGUCAUUACUAUUACGUUUGAUCUUGUAGACUAAUUUAUUUCCAAUAGUUUUUCUUCCACAUAGUAGUGGUACAAGUUCCCAUAUCUUAUUCUUGUGUGGAGCUUCAAUUUCUUCUCGCAUUGCUAUCAUCCACAAAGAAACAUCUGAGUUGUUUAAAGCUUCAUGGAAAGUUGAUGGCUUUCCAUCCUCUGUUAGAAAAUAGUAUGCAAUAUUGAUCUCUUUAACAUAAUCCGAGUGCCACACUGACAGUCGUCUUUCACGAGUUAACCAACGAACUUCUGGAGCCUCGGACUUGAUUGGUUCUUACUCCUUAUGUUCUGGUAUUACUUCAGAAGAAUCUGAAUCUUUCUCUUCUAAAUUAUUUUUAACAUAUACCGGUACAGUCUCUGACUUUUCCUUUACAGUGCUAUUAUCCACAUUUGUCCUUUGUAGUUGAUCUUUUAUAAAGAUAAUAUUUCUCCUAAUAACGAUCUUAUGGGCAGUGGGGUCCCACAUAUGAUACAUAUUUACUCCAUCAGCAUACCCUAAAAAGAUAUAUCUCCUAAAUUUUAGAUCCAGCUUUAUUCUUUCUUAGGCAUUGUACAUCACAUAUACAGGACAUCCAAAUGCAUGUAAGUAAGAGUAAUCAACUGGCUUUCCAGUCCACAUCUCCAUUGGAGUCUUCAACUCAAUUGUCGUGGAUAGUGAUCGAUUUACUAUAUAACAGACAGUUUUGGAUGCUUAUACCCAGAAUUAGUUGGGUAGACCAGCAGUCCUCAACAUAACUCUUAUUCUUUCUAUAAGAGUCAUGUUCAUCUGCUCCGCAACUCUAUUUUUUUUAUGAGUGUAUGCUACCGUGAACUAUCUCUGGAUACCUUCUUGCUUAUAGUAUACAAGAAACUUAUCAUCUGUAUACUCUCCACCGUUAUCGGUCCUCAAACACUUGAUCAUUUUCCCAGAUUCAAGUUCAUCCCGCACUUUGAAUUCUUAAAAUACUGUAAACACAUCCGACUUUUUCUUGAUUGGAUACACACAAUAUCUCCUGAAAUAAUCAUCAAUAGAAGUCACCAUUUACUUUACACCUCCCAUAGAUAUGUCUGGUGAUUCUUAAACAUAAAAAAGAAUCAAGUGUAGAAUGCAUUUACUUCUGGCAACACAUCUACUGAACUUCAAUCUAUUCUACUUACUUGUAACACAAUACUUGCAAAACGGUAAGUUCAUCGAUUUGAGCCCUGGAAGAUACUUUCACUCAGAAAGAUUCUUCAAAUCUUGUUUCGACAUUAGCUAAGUUUGAGAUGCCACAUCAUUGCCGACUCUUCUCCAUUUAACGCAACACAUGCAUUAGCUUCCUAUAGUGUUUUCUCUUUAAGCAUGAAUAGAUUAGCACCAAUAUUUUCUAUCUUCAUCAUUACAAGCGCGUCUUUAGCAAUCUUCAUGAUCCCAUUUUCCACAUGAGUUUUGUACCCAUGACUAUCUGUUUGUCCUAAAGACAAUAGAUUUUUUUAAAAAUAUUUGAUAUGUCGUACCUCCUCAAUUGUGUGAACUGUAUCAUUAGAUAUUUUUAUUUUGAUAGUACUAAUACCAGCGACCUCCAAGGCAUGAUCAUCACCCAUAUAUACAGAUUCUCCUAAGAUAGGUUCAUAUGUAUAGAACUAUUCUCUCCGAGAGGUCAUGUGCCAGGUAGCUCAUUAGUCUAUGAGCCAUACGUCAGCUAACCGCUUUUUGCCUUCUGCAACAAUUGUUGCCUCGUUAUAGAGAAUUUCUCCAUAAUUUGAGGUACUUGCUACACAUCCCUGAGCAUUUUAUGACUCAAGAUCUUUACUAUCUCUUCUUUUCUGGUUGUUACAACACUCUUUCUUGACGUGUCAUUUCUUGCUAUAAUUGUAGUAUUUAACAUUCUUCUUACUUCUCGAUUUUGAUAUGCCAUGGUUGUGACUCCCACUGGGACCAUAUUCCGUUGAUCUCCCUCUCGUCACCGAUAAUGCUUCUGCUUGCUGAGAACUUGCUUGAUUGUCUUUCUUAUUUUUCCGCAUGCUGUCCUCAUUUAAUACGAAGGCUGCAACAUUAUCGAAGACUAAACUAUCCACUUGGUUUUUGUUUGUUAGAUUGAUGAUGAGUUGAUCAUAUAAAUCUAGUAGACUUUGAAGUAAAAGUUCUGCACCUUCAUUUUCCUCUAUAUUAUGACCUAACGUUGUGAGUUGUGAAAAUAGAGCAUUCAAUGUAUUGAUAUGGUAGGUCAUUGAUGUAAAUUCAACCAUUCGAAAAGUAUAAAGUCUUUUUUUUAAGAAGAUAUUGUUGUGAAAUGACUUGGUCUCGUACAAUUUUGUGAGAGUAUCUCAUAUUUCCUUAGCUGUCUUUUUUCUCUGCCGUACUGGAUAACACUCCUUCUGCAAGUGCUGGGUGUAGAUCAUCAAUUGUGUUGCCGUCCAUCUCAUUCCACUUGUCAUCAGUUAUCUUCAUGAGCAUUUCUCCAAUUGCUGCCAAGCAAUUAUUUUUCCUCAACAUAGCAUUCAGCUAUCUUCAUUUUCCAUAACAAAAAAUUAUUUCUAUUGAACUUCUCAAUUUCGUAUUUUGCCGCCAUCGCUUUUUACCACGAAUUAACUUUGCUAGGAUUGACUCUCACUAUUUCACGUGAACAGUAAUCGUAUAUGUAAAUAGUGCCGUAUAUGUGAACAAUACACUGACUCCAAAAAAUACAACUAGUAGUUCUGAUACCACUGUUAAAUAAUCGACGGGUGAAGCUAGGUCACAGCUAAAAUGAAAUUGGAGAGAAAAUGAAAAACAAACACAAAGAGGGCAUCUGAAAUUAUGUGGUUCAAAUUUUAGUCUACGUCUACGGGCGAAUACAGAAAGAAAAUAUUUUACUAUACUGGAAAAAUUACAACUUCUCUCUAAUAAUAGGAGAGAACAAUUAUACUCUCUCUAUAAUUAGGAAAACUACUCUCACUUUUCGAAACCCCAAUUAUACCCAACACUCUCAAUUUAAGAGCAAUUAUAUUUAGUUCUCAAACUUUUAGCUCUCUCAAAAUAGAUGAAAAAAACUAGGGAAAAAAUAGGAUGAUUAAAAUGAGGGGGGUGAGCCCCUCUAUUUAUAGCCAAAAUUGGCUAUUAUUUUAUUUUUUUUCUUGUCAAAAUUUGCUGCAGCACCACCAUUUUUCUACGUUUCGGCUUCGUCAAUGUCAAAGUUGUAUGCCAACAAUUUUGCUUCUUCAAAGUUGCUACAGCCCAUUUUUAUUUUUCUUUGUUCAAAAAGAGCUGCUUCUAGAAUUUGACAGCCAUUUUUCUUGACAUUAACUUCUUGGUUUAUGCAAAUAUCAUGUAACUGCAAAAUAUUGUACUGUAAUAUUUUAACACAAUGUGAGUCUUUAAUACAAUAUGAUGAGAGAUGCCAAACACGACCUAUAUUUAUUUCCUCUUAUGAAGUUCGCUUGGAAAAAGUGAAAAUAAAAUGGACCUGCUUGUGUGGGAUGGCCCAAAACUGAAACAUACAUCCAGCUUAAUAUCAAUGCUUCCACCCAAUUAGGAAAUGGGUUGAACGGGCAACCACCUGACCAAUGGCCCAAAACUAAAAACAUAUAUGUUCGGAUUAAUUUCAAUGCCUCCACUCGUACGUUUUGACAAAUGUCAUUGCACACCAACAAGUUUGGACGUCAUUAAAUCACCACCCAACUGUCACUUUCGCAUGUUAGUUGAAGAACCGCAUAAUAGUCAAUUCCAUCAUUAAAUCAAAUCAAAUUCAAAUAAAAAAGAAAAGUGGUUAAUUUACAAUUAUAUAAAGUCGUGCAUGAGACAUCAAUUGUAGCCAUCAAAUGAGUUGUGAAACAAGUACUUUUAGAAGUCAUGAUGAAGUCUAUAGAAUUUUCUAAUUCUGAUAAUUUUAUUGAAAUAAUAAGGAUUUGACAAAGAUGAAUAAAAAAAUUGAUAAAGUUUUUUCAUAAAAUGGAAUAAAUUUUACAUCUGCAUUUGCUUUUAAUUUUAGAAAGCUCUUAUACUUUUUUAUUACUUAAAUUUUCUUGCCACCUUAUCGGUUAAGGAUGGCAAAAGGCGGGUUUGUGCUAGGAGCCCAUUUUAAGAUAAGCACGAGGGCAGUCUUACAUGUAUAUUAAGGUUGUGGACAAUCUUACUGUUGAACUCACGAGCUUUUUUAGUAUAAAAUUAAAAAAGCAUGAGCCGGAACUUCAUUAUAAUUUCCACAGCUGCUACAUGUAUAUUUUUUAUAUGAAAUCAGUUGUGUGGGGGCUUGUAGGGUGGCUUGUGUUCUGGGAAUGGCUUCCCUACUAUAGGAUGUUCGAAAAUCGGUGGCUUGUGUUCUGGAAACGGCUUCUCAAUCUUGGGAGGCUUGUCAACCUUCGGAGGCACGUAAACCGGAGGCUUUGGGAAUAGCUUGUCAAUCUUGAGAGAUUUUGGGAAUGGCUUCUCAACCUUCGGAGGCUCGUAAACUGGAGGCUUUGGUAAUGGCUU
rnacentral:lncRNA from 1 species